rnacentral:rRNA from 1 species
UACAGAGGGUGCAAGCGUUGUUCGGAAUUAUUGGGCGUAAAGCGCGUGUAGGCGGUUUUGCAAGUCGGGUGUGAAAGCCCUCAGCUCAACUGAGGAAGUGCGCCCGAAACUGCAGAUCUUGAGUACCGGAGAGGAUGGCGGAAUUCCCCAAGUAGAGGUGAAAUUCGUAGAUAUGGGGAGGAACACCGGUGGCGAAGGCGGCCAUCUGGACGGAUACUGACGCUGAGACGCGAAAGCGUGGGUAGCAAACGGG